rnacentral:lncRNA from 10 species
AGAAUCACGGACCUGGGCCUGGCUCGCCUGAAAGGUGUAGGGUAACUGUAAUUCAGACCACCAAGAAACCGCCCUUGCCAAGAUCUCUUUUCUAGUCUGAAGACCACUUGGGACUGCAGGAAGGCACAUGGGAAUCCUGUUUGCAUCUGAUCUGCUCACUGCAAUAUAACACGUGCAUAAAACAGUGCAACCGUAUUUGUUUUAAUAAGGCCAUUCUGAGCAGCUGUUUAAUGAUCCAUGAUGUUAAAUGAAAACUACAGGUGUUCCAAAUGCAAACCUUAUGGCCCAGGGCCCCCCUUAUUACCGUUCUACAAUUAGCAGCCAACUGCUCUUAGGCUGUGCAAAGAAUUACCACCAUCAUCAUUACAUUAUUUCUUAAUUUCAUUCUCUGCCUAAGUGUCUUCCCCCAAAGGAAAAACCUGCUUGGCAUGGGAAAGCAUAAGAGUGAAAAAAUGAAAAGGGAAGGAGAACACAAAACACUCCCUGUCCAACCACAAGGAGGCCUCAGUGAAGGGGGAAAGAGCCAGCCAAAAGGCUCAGCCCCCUAAGGAAUCUUCCAGAGUGACUUUCUGGCCAAACUUAACAAAGUCUUGCUGAAACUAUUGGUGUUCAUAAGGAUUGCAUUAACCCUUUCUUCUUCAUGAUUCCCUAAGCUUAAUACUGUGCUAAGCCAAAUUGCCAGAAAGCUGCAUAGCUGGAUUCCAUCGCUCUGUCUUGUAGAGGGCUAAUUUUAUGCAAGUAUAAUUUUAACAUCACAACAGUUUUCACUUAAGGUACAUAUAAUAAACUGCAAAGAAGGAAGUCUUCUGUAUCACUUGUGAAAUUGCUGUCUGUAUCAUUAUCCAUUACAUACCUCAAUACCUCUUACAUAAAAAUGCCAGAGACAAAUUUAAUUAGAGCUCGGGAACAAGUUUAUCUUUCCAUGUCAAUGGGUACACUUUUUUCUGCAAAACUAGUAAUUCUCAAUUCUGGCUGCAUAUUAGAAUCACCUAAUAGUAAACACAUUUAUUUGCAUCCCAGCUCCUUCCCAGACCAUUUAAAUUCAAAUUUCUAGGAGUGGGCACUGGGCAGGACCAUCGAGUUGCAGUUCCAGGGGUCACCAUUCACAAUGUGCUUGGCCAAAUUACAGUAUUAUACUCUGCUGCCAAAAUUGAGAACCACUGCCCCAGAAAAUGAGAGUUUUAUAACUCACUGAUUUUGCUUCUUCAUUUUGGUUACUAAGAAGCUCAAAACUAAUUAUACUGAAUUGCAGUUUUCCUCUGCCAAAAUUUCUCAAUACAAUUUUCCCUCUGCAUCCCCUCAUAUUAAUGCUUUUACCAGUACUUUCAGUGUAAGCUACCAAAUAUUCUUUUUGUAGGUAAAGUAAAAUAAAACAAUAAAUAAAAUAAAGAUCUAUUGGGAGGCACAAGUAGAUCUAUAUACAAAUUUAUAUACAAAUCUCCCAUAAUCACCCCAAACGUAAGAUGGCCAAAGAUGGGCCGGGCGCAGUGGCUCAUGCCUGUAAUCCCCAGCACUUUGGAAUGCCAAGAUGGGCAGAUCAUGAGGUCAGGAGUUCGAGACCAGCCUGGUCAACAUGGUGAAACCCCUGUCUCUACUAAAAAUACCAAAAAAAAAAAAAUUACCCGGGUGUGGUGGCACAUGCCUGUAAUCUCAGAUACUUGGGAGGUUGAGGCAGGAGAAUCGCUUGAAACCAGAAGGCGGAGGUUGCAGUGAGCUGAGAUCGCACCACUGCACUCCAGCCUGGGCAAUAAGAAUGAAACUCCAUCUCCAAA